AACGAACGCUGGCGGCAUGCCUAACACAUGCAAGUCGAACGGAUGUAGCAAUACAUUAGUGGCGCACGGGAGAGUAACGCGUGGGAAUCUGCCUCAUAGUUCGGAAUAACACCGGGAAACUGGUGCUAAUACCGGAUACGCCCUUCGGGGAAAGUUUUCGCUAUGAGAGGAGCCCGCGUUGGAUUAGCUAGUUGGUGGGGUAAAAGCCUACCAAGGCGACGAUCCAUAGCUGGUCUGAGAGGACGAUCAGCCUCACUGGGACUGAGACACGGCCCAGACUCCUACGGGAGGCAGCAGUGGGGAAUAUUGGACAAUGGGGGAACCCUGAUCCAGCAAUGCCGCGUGAGUGAUGAAGGUCUUCGGAUUGUAAAGCUCUUUUGGCAGGGACGAUGAUGACGGUACCUGCAGAAUAAGCUCCGGCUAA
rnacentral:rRNA from 1 species